rnacentral:rRNA from 1 species
GGGAGGUAGUGACAAUAAAUAACAAUACGGGGUCCUUUCGGGUUUCGUAAUUGGAAUGAGUACAAUUUAAAUCUCUUAACGAGGAACAAUUGGAGGGCAAGUCUGGUGCCAGCAGCCGCGGUAAUUCCAGCUCCAAUAGCGUAUAUUAAAGUUGUUGCAGUUAAAAAGCUCGUAGUUGAAUUUCGGGAUUAGUACGCUGGUCGUGCCUUCGGUACGUACUGGUGUUACUGAUUCCUACCUUCUGACGAACCAUCAUGUCAUUAGUUUGGUGUGGUGGGGAAUCAGGACUGUUACUUUGAAAAAUUAGAGUGUUUAAAGCAGGCUCGCGCUUGAAUACAUUAGCAUGGAAUAAUGAAAUAGGACGUUGAUCCUAUUUUGUUGGUUUCUAGGAUUGACGUAAUGAUUAAUAGGGAUAGUUGGG